GACGAACGCUGGCGGCGUGCUUAACACAUGCCAGUCGAACGGAAAGGCCCUGCUUUUGUGGGGUGCUCGAGUGGCGAACGGGUGAGUAACACGUGAGUAACCUGCCCUUGACUUUGGGAUAACUUCAGGAAACUGGGGCUAAUACCGGAUAGGAGCUCCUGCUGCAUGGUGGGGGUUGGAAAGUUUCGGCGGUUGGGGAUGGACUCGCGGCUUAUCAGCUUGUUGGUGGGGUAGUGGCUUACCAAGGCUUUGACGGGUAGCCGGCCUGAGAGGGUGACCGGCCACAUUGGGACUGAGAUACGGCCCAGACUCCUACGGGAGGCGGCAGUGGGGAAUAUUGCACAAUGGGCGGAAGCCUGAUGCAGCAACGCCGCGUGCGGGAUGACGGCCUUCGGGUUGUAAACCGCUUUCGCCUGUGACGAAGCGUGAGUGACGGUAAUGGGUAAAGAAGCACCGGCUAACUACGUG
rnacentral:rRNA from 1 species